rnacentral:rRNA from 1 species
UGCAAGCCGAACGGCAGCGCGGGGUAACCUGGCGGCGAGUGGCGAACGGGUGAGUAAUAUAUCGGAACGUACCCAAGAGUGGGGGAUAACGUAGCGAAAGUUACGCUAAUACCGCAUACGAUCUAAGGAUGAAAGCAGGGGACCGCAAGGCCUUGUGCUCCUGGAGCGGCCGAUAUCUGAUUAGCUAGUUGGUAGGGUAAAGGCCUACCAAGGCAUCGAUCAGUAGCUGGUCUGAGAGGACGACCAGCCACACUGGAACUGAGACACGGUCCAGACUCCUACGGGAGGCAGCAGUGGGGAAUUUUGGACAAUGGGCGCAAGCCUGAUCCAGCAAUGCCGCGUGAGUGAAGAAGGCCUUCGGGUUGUAAAGCUCUUUUGUCAGGGAAGAAACGGGCGGGGCUAAUAUCCUCGUCUAAUGACGGUACCUGAAGAAUAAGCACCGGCUAACUACGUGCCAGCAGCCGCGGUAAUACGUAGGGUGCAAGCGUUAAUCGGAAUUACUGGGCGUAAAGCGUGCGCAGGCGGUUUUGUAAGUCUGUCGUGAAAUCCCCGGGCUCAACCUGGGAAUGGCGAUGGAGACUGCAAGGCUAGAAUCUGGCAGAGGGGGGUAGAAUUCCACGUGUAGCAGUGAAAUGCGUAGAGAUGUGGAGGAACACCGAUGGCGAAGGCAGCCCC